UGCUUGUGCCCUUCUGGCUCUAUACCAAGUCCUUUUCUCUCUCCAAUCUCCUCUUCUAAGGGUCAAGACCAAUCAGAGAAGUUCUUGUAUACUUAGUCACCCUGCAACUGUGACCCUGUGUGUGAAUCUGUGUGCUCUGCGUCCACGUGUGAUGAAGAUGUGCCACGUGUGAGCUGGCAGCUGUGCACGGGUCCAUGGGAGUUCACAUAAUAAUGCUGCCGAAGAAGCAAUAACACGUAAUGACCUGAGCAUCACUGCCUUUCUGCUGACAGCUGCCUCCAGCGCCCGGGGAAGUUGGCUGACCUGAGGAGAAGCAAAGGGUGGCUAAUGAGUCAUUAAGAGUCUUUAUCAAAUUAGGAUUAUAAUCCAUCUCAACAUGCAGAGGAAAAUGUUUCAAAUUAUCCACUUUCUUAAUUGCAACUUGAAGAUUUGGCAGGAAAUUAUCACGAGAGAUAAUGCCUGGAAAUUGGCGGAUUGUGCUGGUGUGGUCUAAGCUCCCAUGACUGUAAUAGCUGGAGAAAUCGCCCACACUCCUGUACACAUGUUUGCACUGACACUUGCACAUACGAACCCCUGCUGGCCCACGAUACUACCCAGGCAGGCAGGCAGACAUAGAGUUAUGUCUGUGCACCAUAGGUCAAGCUGUGCAUUUCUUAGUCCAUUCAGAUAGCUUGAGACUCUUGCCAAACACUGAGAGGCUGGGAAGGAGAAGGUAAGAUGUAAAGAAGCACUUAGUCCUUGCCUUUAUGAAGUCAAAAGCUGCUUAGGGAGCUAGUGCACACAUAUUUGAAAUUUUAGAACACACACAAAGCAAUGCACUAAUGAAUCUGCUACAGCACAAUGGUGAGUACAUAUGCUGUGUGGGAUAUAGGACAGAAUUAAGUAAUUUCUA